rnacentral:ncRNA from 2 species
AGCUCAUCCAGAGGGGCAGAGGGACACGGCCCGAUGAAGCCCCGGCAACCCUCCAGUCGGUUCUCGUUCAGGAGCGAGGCUCCCGGCUAGGGAAGGUGCCAAAUCCGUCUCGCGGCGAGGUGCGCUGCGAGGAAGAUGAGGA